UUACGUUGGUUUUGAAGGGACUGUGCAUAAAUACACGUGAAAGGUGCAGAAUUCGUCUCAAACAAUAGAAGUCUUCCACAUAGAAACCUGGUUUCCUUAAAACAUCGUCCCCGUGCCGUCUGGAGUUCUGAGGCUUGAACCCCUCCGGUGAACAGCAUCCCAUGCGGAGCACAGACCUGCAGUAAUUACGGGAACAGCAGUUUGUCACGAGCUGCUGGCGGCACCAAUGGACAGUCUGCUGAAGUCCACGACGAGAAAAACAAAUCAAGCUCCUGACCUUGGCAGCGUCGCUCACUUGGGGAUUUUUUGUAACCUUCUAAUAUCCAAGUAAUGAAUUAACUUGCAUGUAAUCAGUGAACACAACACCAGAGAUCGAGCUGGAAAGCAGACACCUCUUAAGCUAAGACUGAAAACCAAUGUUACUUUCUUACAAAAGAAAAGAUUGACAACACUAUACUACAUAUGGACAAUUAUGGUUGUGUAAACCAGAAUGCUUAGUAUAAUAGUUAUCUCAAGAAUGGUGUUUUCAAAUAUCUUUAGCAGCUAAUAUUCUAUUUAGAGCUAAUAUUCUUUCCCAGUUUUAAAGCUGCCCUCUGUAAUAUAUAAAUGGGAGAUUAAAAGUCAGAUGCUGUAUUGCAGGCAGUUGAUAAAGAGCAGCAGAUGACAUUAUCCACAUUACCUCAAUAAACUGUGGUGUUCUUCAAAAUAUACAAACCCCAGUAUCUGUGCAGCCUAGUCAUCCUCCAAGGUAGACCAUUUUAUAUCCAUUUACUGCUGCAAUCCCAGUUUGGUGAAGAUUGUGUAGUAGUUUCCCCUUGGACCUUCUGCUUGCAACCACCCAUACCCAUCAAAAAUUCCCACUUGUGAGACUCAGGUUUCCAUGACUGCGACUGCAAAAGGUGAAUUUUUAUUUCAAUAUUUUAUGACGAUCUUUUUUAACAUUUCAAAACACAGGAAGGUACGGGGGAAAAAAUCUUAAGCUUAUUUUGUUUUCUAUUCGCUGGCCAGAGGUGAGAUCUGAAAGCAAAACUCAGAACUAUUUCUCUGCAGGAAGGAGUGCAUGACUAAUUUGGGGGAGACACCUGCUUUCAUUUGAUCAAAUAAAAUUACAGAUCGUUUGGAUACGAACGCACCCAAAUGAUCACCUGGCAGUUAUUCUCACAUUCAUUUAUUCACCCUGGAAAGCACAUGCACUGUUUAGGUGUCCGUGCUACUGAUGGGUUCUACCCUCAGUGAUGCCACCUUGCCCCGCAAGCACGAGGCGUGACAAGAGAACGCCCUUGGCCUGUCUGUCCCUUUGUCUGUCCCUCUGUCUGUCCCGUGUCCGCCCCGCGCUGGCAGCGUGCGGCACGGCGCGUCUCUGGGCCUUGCUGAUUCUCCGGGGUGAGGAACAUUGCAGAUCAUUGCUGCUGGAUGGCACCUGCGCCGUUAUCUGCUCCUGCUGGGCUCUCGCUGAACCCAGGCUGCUCUCUGAGUUCCUUAAUUGCUCACCGCGGAAGCUGAAGGUGACACCAGAAGCAAAUCACCAUAAACACAUGCAAACCUCUCUUACAACAGCAAACGAGACGGUCAUAGAUGGCGCAGAGUGCGGAUCAGCAAGAGCCGUUUUGCUCUAAAUCUCAUUUUCACACAUCUUCAGCCCCGGUAUAGAAUCCCAGCAGAUGCCUGGGAAGACAAGUAGCUUAAGUUUAUAUGGGCAUAUAUAAAUCCCUGAAUUACUUUCUGCUGUUUAUACUUCAUAAACUAAUAUAGCAGUGAACAAACUUCAUUUGCAGAACUGUGAACAAACUGCAUUUCAUAGAAGUUAUCCAGUUAUGGGCCAGGCCUUGCAUUUCUUACGCAGGAAGGAUUAAAUCAAAAGGCAAGUAGUCUGUGAAAAGGUGGGUUUAUACACAGCCAGCCGAACCCUUGAUAAAUUAUCUUCUUGAAGGAAAAUGAAGGUUUCCAGCAGAUUUCCCUGUACUUGUUUUGAGAGCAGCUUUCGCUUGCCCCCCUCGAGGCUUUCUUCAGAAGUGAAGCUGAAGCUAAAUGUCUAGUGAGGCCCAGUUUCUAAGGAUGAUUUUGCUAACACAGGAUUAAGGCUCACUGCCAGUGGAAUGCAGGGCAGGUAACGCUGCUGCUCAUGGUUUAAACUGUUUUGUGGCUAAACUGCAUCUUGAUUUCUACUGAUAAUGGUUCAGUGCCUCUGAGCUUCAAACUUGCUUCUAUAAGAGGUAAAAAAAUGGGUUAUUUGGGUCUCUCAAUUUUCUUUUUCUGGAACAAAAUAAGCAAUCCUCUCAUGAUCUGAGCAAGAUAGUAACCUGUCCUGAAGUGGUUCCUCAGAGACUAAGGAGGAUGAUUCCAUUAAUUUUUUCCCUCCAGAUUAUUUCAAAGCUUUUUUCGUUUGGUUGGUUUGGUUUUCUUUCUUUCUUUAACCAUAGGUGAGACAUCAAGGGAGUUCUACAAACUAAUAGACUGUGGUCAGUCUGUCAACAUCAAGGUCAUGGCUGGUUACCCUGCAAUGGACAGUCAGCACAUUUUCUCCAUAUCCACAAAAGCAUUUCUCAAAAGCAAACAUCAAACCAACAAAAAGCCCUGCUUGACAAAUACCUCCUUUCCAGUCUAAUAUCUACAUCUCUUGCAGUUUGUCAAUACCUCGACAAAUCCUUGGUACAGAACUGCAUCUGAAUGACAACUGCCCUAUUGUUUCUCAAUGACAUCGAUUAACAAGGCCGUUUGUAAUUAGCUGGGGGAAUGUACUCCUUGCCCUGUGUAAACAUCUGGAUUUGCAAAUCUGCACUCCAAGUUUGGGAGCUCUCUGCCACACAUCACUAAUUACGCCACAUUCUAAUAUAUCAGAACCUCUAGGCUCCUGCUGAGCGUCUCUUCUUUGUUCCCAGCACCAGUCAGAGGCUGUUGUCAGUGCAGAGAAAACCAGCAUAACUGCCUAGCGCCGCAUGUGACACUUAAUGAAAAUGAAGUAGCGUCUAAUUUGCAUGGCUGGGGUGACUUUAUUAAAGCUGGGUGCUGCAGGUGUGCAGGGCUGACAGUCUGCGGCACCCGCGGCGUCUGGCAUGGGACACUGCAUCCCCCUCGCCCAUCUCCUCUGUGACCCAUCGCGCUCCUGCUAAAAUGCCAGAUUUGUUCAUUU